rnacentral:rRNA from 1 species
UACGGAGGGUGCAAGCGUUAUCCGGAUUCACUGGGUUUAAAGGGUGCGUAGGAGGGCAGGUAAGUCAGUGGUGAAAUCCUAGAGCUUAACUCUAGAACUGCCGUUGAUACUAUCUGUCUUGAAUAUUGUGGAGGUGAGCGGAAUAUGUCAUGUAGCGGUGAAAUGCUUAGAUAUGACAUAGAACACCAAUUGCGAAGGCAGCUGGCUACACAAAUAUUGACACUGAGGCACGAAAGCGUGGGGAGUCAAACAGGA